GUGGAGUCGUCGUUGAAAUACCAGUCUGGUCGUGCUGGAUGUCUAACCUGGGUCCGUGAUCCGGAUCAGGGACAGUGUCUGAUGGGUAGUUUAACUGGGGCGGUUGCCUCCUAAAGAGUAACGGAGGCGCCCAAAGGUUCCCUCAGCCUGGUUGGUAAUCAGGUGUUGAGUGUAAGUGCACAAGGGAGCUUGACUGUGAGACCGACGGGUCGAGCAGGGACGAAAGUCGGGACUAGUGAUCCGGCGGUGGCUUGUGGAAGCGCCGUCGCUCAACGGAUAAAAGGUACCCCGGGGAUAACAGGCUGAUCUUCCCCAAGAGUCCAUAUCGACGGGAUGGUUUGGCACCUCGAUGUCGGCUCGUCGCAUCCUGGGGCUGGAGUCGGUCCCAAGGGUUGGGCUGUUCGCCCAUUAAAGCGGUACGCGAGCUGGGUUUAGAACGUCGUGAGACAGUUCGGUCCCUAUCCGCUGCGCGCGCAGGAACAUUGAGAAGGGCUGUCCCUAGUACGAGAGGACCGGGACGGACGAACCUCUGGUGUGCCAGUUGUUCUGCCAAGGGCAUGGCUGGUUGGCUACGUUCGGGAGGGAUAACCGCUGAAAGCAUCUAAGCGGGAAGCCUGCUUCGAGAUGAGUGUUCCCACCUCCUUGAGAGGGUAAGGCUCCCAGUAGACGACUGGGUUGAUAGGCCAGAUCUGGAAGCACCGCAAGGUGUGGAGGUGACUGGUACUAAUAGGCCGAGGGCUUGUCCUCAGUUG
rnacentral:rRNA from 1 species